rnacentral:lncRNA from 1 species
AUGGAGGCAGCGAGCACGGCCCAGCUCCCCUCACUGCUCUCAGCACUCCCAGCCCGGGUCAUGCUCUCACACAGCUCCCCAGCCAGGAGGAACCUCGGGGCCCAGGCGGGCAGCGAGGGGCACAGGGGGUCAGGCAGCUCCUGGGGACGAGCCUUGCACGGCAGCUCCCCUGCACAGCUCGGGGUUUCAGGCCACAGGGAUGGUCACUGGUGGGUCUGCCCUGCACAGCCGUGCCACUGCUCCUGCAGGAUGGAGAAGUGCCACCCCUGCAUGGCACCUGUUCCCACUGCGUCCCUCCAGACCCCUCUUAUCUCCAGCACCCAGCUCAGGGAUCUGACAGGAGCCAAGGCAUGCGUCCCAUGGGGAAGAAGGUGCUGUUAUUUAUUUCCUGUUGCAUCCCAAGCCAAGGCUGGACAUGUCCCAGGUGUUGAGUCCCCAGUAACUUUGGGAUGCCAGUGCCUGUCCCUCACAUUAAGUGAGAGUCAGGAUGCUCCUGUCCCCCAGCUCCCAGUCCUUUGGGUGUCCUGGGGCUGCUCGGGAUUUCAGCAAACCCAGCACCCAGGGCACGAGUCAGAACCACCCACAUACAGGGAGGGACCUCCUGAGUGUCAAAGUCAGCAGAAAUGGCUUUUCCUGCAGCUGCCAGGAAACAAAGAUCCACAUUUCCAAGGCAAUAUGCACAGGAAGGUCCCCUUCCUCCUCACCCUCAUCUCCCUACCCCAUGUCUCCCCCUUCCCAGGAUCCUCACACAUCUCCAAGUCCCCAGCAAAUCCAGCCUCUGAGGAGGAAAACUUUGCCCAGACCUACCUAGCAGGGAAAGGGUUCAAAGUCACAGAGAAAGGACCCAGCCCUGCAGCAGGACCCUGUCUGGGAUCAGCAGGUCCAUGCUGCACAUGCCAUGUGUUCCAUGGUGCCAGUGGGAUAUUUGCAGAGUCGGGAGAUGAACUGUGUCACUGCAGCACACCAAGGGACAUCCCAGCUGGGGUCCCUCCUCCCUGCCACACCACGUGGCCCCCAAACUCCUGA